rnacentral:rRNA from 1 species
AGAGUUGAUCAUGGCUCAGGAUGAACGCUGGCGGCGUGCUUAACACAUGCAAGUCGAACGGAGAUUACUUUUAGCUUGCUAUUUGUAAUCUAGUGGCGGACGGGUGAGUAACGCGUGGGUAACCUGCCUUAUACAGGGGGAUAACAGUCGGGAACGACUGCUAAUACCGCAUAAGCGCACAGUAUCGCAUGAUAGAGUGUGAAAAAGAUUUAUCGGUAUAAGAUGGACCCGCGUCUGAUUAGCUGGUUGGGUGAGGUAACGGCCCACCAAGGCGACGAUCAGUAGCCGGCCUGAGAGGGUGAACGGCCACAUUGGGACUGAGACACGGCCCAAACUCCUACGGGAGGCAGCAGUGGGGAAUAUUGCACAAUGGGGGAAACCCUGAUGCAAGCGACGCCGCGUGAGUGAAGAAGUAUUUCGGUAUGUAAAGCUCUGUCAGCAGGGAAGAAAAUGACGGUACCUGAUUAAGAAGCCCCGGCUAACUACGUGCCAGCAGCCGC